CUGGCACGGUAAGCGAUCGCUUUUGUUUUUGCAAAAGAGGAAAGUCCGAGCUGCGAUAAGACAAGGUUCCAUCUAACGGAUGGCUAGGGAAACCUAAGGGAUAGUGUAACAGAAAGCAAACUUCCGCCUUGGCGGUAAAGGUGAAACGGCGGGGUAAGAGCCCACCGGCACGCUUGGUAACUUGCGUGGCCAUAUAAACCCAACUUGCAGUAAGAAGGGAUGGUUUUGGUCUUAUAUUAAAACCCUUCGCUAGAGCUUGUUUGUAAAAGCAAGCGUAGAUAAAUGAUCGCUCAAGACAGAACUCGGCUUAACGCCGUGCCUUUAAA
rnacentral:RNase_P_RNA from 1 species